rnacentral:sRNA from 1 species
UUGGAGAUAAAUGGACCCUAUAUUCUGUUGACUUCAAACGUAAUGUUGGAGGCACACCUAACUAGACUAUUGUUUUUGUUUUUUUCAAGAAAUGGGAUCCAGUUGAAUGUUAAUGGAGAGUGUAACAGUAUCAUCUCCGAAGGAGAAAAGUCUUUACAUUAUGAACUCACUCUUGCUCAGUCUGCAGAGAACACUGAAACUGAAAGGCAGCACAAUGUAAUCAACUUGUCAUCUCUGGACGCCAUGAUGGAUCAGGAAAUGCUGCUAUUACUAAGAGAGCCUGAGCAGAAGGCAGUGGAAUUCACAGCCACGCUUCAGAAGCUGCACGAAGAAAUUUCUAAAAUUGCAACCCUCAUUGAAAGCUCUCAACGUCAGAAACAACUAGAAGCCAUUAAACAACUACAGGAAGAUGCUGUCAACCAGGAAGGCAUCCUUAGGAAGAGGCUCCAAGAAACCAGCCAACGGCUGGAGGAUGCGGAGGAGCAGGGUAAGGAUCGAGAUCGAGAAGCCCACUCUGCCAGUGAAAAAGCUACAUCUUUACUGCAUAAAUUAGAGGAAGCAAUUUCGGAACAACGGAACCUUCAAACUAUAAAUACUGAAUUAUCGAACACUUGCCAGGCACUUCAGCAGAAGACAAGGAAACUGAAGAAACUUUUUAGAAGAGGAAUUUCCUCACUAUGAUUCCCUGUCCUGCGCAGAGGCAAUUCAACAACCUCUUCAAGAAAAAUUGAAGCAGUGUUGCCACAAAGUAUAUGGUGGUCAAGAAGCAAGAAUACAUCAGACACCCCUGACCUUGAAACAUACGUGCUGGUACACACCUUUGCUGGAUGCCUUAUCUCUGGAUAGUUUUACAGCAGUUCCAACCCCGGAAUCAACACCUUUCUCAGGUGUAGCCCACCAAAUCCACACUCUGUGUGAAAGGCCCAUAAAGGAUGGUGCUUUGGAUGUAACAAG